rnacentral:lncRNA from 1 species
CAACUAUGGCAAAGAUACAAAUCUUCUGGAAUUAAGAAAGAGAGACUAGUCAGUGAAGAUUGGGGUUUAGAUGUCUAGUCCCUAGAAAGACCUCUACCUGUACUUUCUUUCUAGGGAAGAAUAAAAGGGAAAUAGUGGUGACAAUAGAAUUUCCCAAUUAGCGGCGCCUUACAGUAGAGGAAACAUGUGCCCCUUUUCCUGCAUAAGGCUUUGGAACAUGGCAAGAUCCAUGAUUCUCCUCUGCCCUAUGUUGGUCUGAGGAAUUGAAUAGAACUGAUUUCAGGUGUCCAAACAGAGAUUAUUGUGUGAGCCUCAUAAAAUUCCUGGAAAGCGGAGGAAUGACUUUUUUUUUUUUGGAACCCAAUUGUAGCACCGAUGUCAGGAAAAGCCUUAGUCAUCCUCAGAGAGCUUGAUGAAGGACCUGAGUGGAAGUUAGCCGUGACAAAGCUUGGAGGCUUUGCUGUUGGGACAAAGACACACAGUAGUACAGACUCUUUGAAGAUGUCAAGUGGCCAGAAGGUGCAGGAUUUCAGACGAGUAGCCACCUGGAUGAGAUACUGA